AAUGAACGUUGGCGGCGUGGAUUAGGCAUGCAAGUCGAGCGAGAAGUGUAGCAAUACACGGAAAGCGGCGGAAGGGAGAGUAAUACGUGGGAAUCUGCCCUUAGACCUGGGAUAGCAGCGGGAAACUGCUGGUAAUACCAGAUAAUGUCUAUGGACCAAAGGUGUGAUUCCGUCUAGGGAUGAGCCCACGUCCUAUUAGCUAAUUGGUAGGGUAAUGGCCUACCAAGGCGAUGAUGGGUAGCGGGUGUGAGAGCAUGACCCGCCUCACUGGGACUGGGACACUGCCCAGACACCUACGGGUGGCUGCAGUCGAGAAUAUUCGGCAAUGGGCGCAAGCCUGACCGAGCGAUGCCGCGUGCGGGAUGAAGGCCUUCGGGUUGUAAACCGCUGUCGAGGGGGAGCAACUUCCAUAGAGUUAUCUUUAUGGAUUGAGUGAUCCCUGGAGGAAGGACGGGCUAAGUUCGUGCCAGCCGCCGCCGUAAUAC
rnacentral:rRNA from 1 species